rnacentral:rRNA from 1 species
UACGUAGGGGGCAAGCGUUGUCCGGAAUCAUUGGGCGUAAAGAGCGUGUAGGCGGCUCGGUAAGUCCGCUCUGAAAGCCCGGGGCUCAACCCCGGGAGGCGGGCGGAUACUGUCGGGCUAGAGUCCGGAAGAGGCGAGUGGAAUUCCUGGUGUAGCGGUGAAAUGCGCAGAUAUCGGGAAGAACACCCGUGGCGAAGGCGGCUCUCUGGGACGGUACUGACGCUGAGACGCGAAAGCGUGGGGAGCGAACAGG